AAGUUUCGAGGUGGGAACGGCCUACCCACGCACCCGCAAGGGUCAGUAGCCGCAAGGCGAAGAGAUCCGGGAUUUGGCACCCCGGCGGAAAUG
rnacentral:ncRNA from 1 species